UCAGGCUGUCCGGCAUCCUGCGAUUCUCCGUUCACCAUCCCUCCAUCUGUUCACUCCAUCCACAUCUCGCAUCUCCAUACUGAUGAAAACCACAGCAAACAUCCUCAAGAAAACAUCAAACAAGAAAAUCGAUCCAACUGUGGAGGGAUAAUCAAAUCAGCAGAGAGUGCAGAUGUUCUCCCCAGCUGGCCAGAUGUCUAUAGAGAGAGGUGACUCAGUUGUGGUGAUGUGAGAAGAGGAUCUGUUAUUGAUGUUAACCACGUUGGGCACUCAGCCAGCGCAUUCCACCCAGAUGCCCACAGGUGAUUGGCCAGUGCGACUUGGCAGCUCAGAUCCAACCAAAGGGGUUGCUGUGAGUGACCUUGGCAGAUGGUCAGAGCCAAAGCUGUAUCAGCCACCUCGGGUCAUUUUUAACGCAUUUCCCAAUUUAUUCACUGUCUCUCCCUCCUCUCUGUCAUCCUCUAUCUUUCUAUCUCUCUGUUUGGUGAUUUUUUUAAAGAGAUGAUAUUGCUUCUGACUGUAAUACCUUCUGAGGGUGACCGUGUUUCAUUUUAUUCGAUGUGCAUAAGAACUUCUCAUAUCGAAAUAUUAACCCCAAUUCAACCUCUUCAUAAUUUCAGUCUGAAACAGGACACGCUUAUAUAUGUAUUUUUUUUUCAUGUAUGUGUGUUCUUGAU